rnacentral:lncRNA from 1 species
CUAUGGCACAAGCCUCAAACCCACACGCACAAGUAGAUAUGGAAUCCAAAGAUUUGAUAAACUCACCUCCUAUAGCACCCCAAACUUAGAGAAGCUGAAACACCAAUGAUUGAAGGAUUUAGAUGAGAAUCUGACAAACGCCACAACGAAUAGUUGAUAAGUUAGCCAAGAUUCCUGGUGCAAUUGAUGAAAGCAAAUACUCACUCUCACUCAAAGCAAUACACGCCAAAGGCAUGAAAAGAAUUCUGAAAUAUUUGAUUAAAAGCUGCCUCUUACAAUUGUUUCUUAUCCUUAUAUAGUAAGGAGAAAAACAAAUAAAGCCCUAAGACACUCUUCUUGGGCCUGACUUAAACACAUAAGGCCCAAGCCCAAUCACACACUAAAAUAACACAUAAGUAUUAAAACAUAAGCCCAAAACAUGGCCCAACACUCUAAAACUUAAAAGAUAAAAUAUGGCCAGAAUACAAGCCCAAACAAAGCUAAAAUAAAAUAAGUGUUCAAAUAAUAAAACAUAGCAAGCCCAUCAUAACAAAGCUGAAUCUUCACAAAAACCUUACUUGAUCUUCACUUUAGGCUUCCCUUUGUGUGGUUUUAGCCCAUAGGUUUGAUUAGGCUCUCUAAGCCUAUGAUUGCAAGUAUUGCACCAAAUCUGUCCCAUAUGAGUUGAAGCACGCCCUAAAUAUAUAUGGAUCAUAUGAAUAUGAUUUUGAACUCCUUUUAGAUCCAUUUGAAUGACAUAAGUUUGCUCCACACCAUUGUUAGAAAUUUGCUCUAUUGGAUUCGUAUCAUUCUCUCCUUCUUUAGAAAAGAUUCGUCCUCGAAUCUUGCUGAUAUUUAUAUCAAAAAGGGAAGCUUUAGGAACCCAUGUAUCUUCAAAGACCUCCUUUUGAAUAGGUGGAAAUAGUAUAAAACUUUCGUCAUGAAUGUUUUCGUCAUGAAUGUUUUCAUCAACAACCUGCACAUCAAGAACAAAUGAACUAGGCAUAAAAAUAUUAGUCAUAGAAAGAUCUUAGGGAUAUGACCCAUUCUCCUCUACAACUUCCAAAACAGUCUCAUUCACCUCCUCCACCUCAUCAUUUACAACCUCUUCUAUAAGUUCAUUGAUGGAAUUCUCAGCAACAACUACAUUAGAUUCAUGCAUUACAACUUCCUCUUCAAUUUCAAUCUCUAUGGAAGUUGAGAUUGAAACUUUAGCCUCUUCUUUCUUCUUUUCUUUCUCCACCUUCCCUCCAUGAACUAGUGUUGAUUAUUUUCCAGCCUCUUUACCCUCAGACUCACACUUUUCUCUCAUUUUUACCGCAGAACUCAAGCUCUCACUCUCCUUUGUAGCCAAGGCCGAAGCCUCCCUCUCCCUCUCCAGCAUCUUUAUUUGAUCAGCAUAUACCUCUUGAGGUGAUAAAGGAGCGAGUAUAACCUUCUGUCCUUCAUAAAUAAAGGAAUACUUGUUAUCGAACCCAUCAUGUUGCACCUUUCUAUCAUGUUGCCACGACCUACCCAACAACAUAUGGUUUGCCUGCAUAGGUACCACAUCACACAAUAUCUCAUCCUUGUACCUACCAAUAGAAAAUGGUAUAACCACCUGGCAUGUAACCCUAACCUCACCACAAUCAUUCAACCAUUGCAACCUGUAUGGCUUAGGGUGUUCAAUAGAAGCCAAGCCCAAUUUCUCCACCAUAUACACACUUGCCACAUUUGUGCAACUACCUCCAUCAAUAAUGAGAGUACACACUUUACCAUUAACCAAACACCUAUUGUGAAAUAUGUUUUCCCGUUGUUCUAGGCUUUCUUUCUUAACCUGCAUAUUCAGAGCACGCCUAGCAACAAGCAUCUCAUAAUGUGCAGCAAGCAACACAUUAUUAACCAACACAUCCGAAUCAUCACAGUCAUUAUUGCAAUUAAGAGUUCUUUGAGAUAUUCUUGUAGAAGUGGAAGCUUGUGAGACAUUCAAACUCUCCAUAGUUUCAGUUAACCUCUUAAGAGUCUUAUUGAGCCUUUGUAACUCACUACUGACUGACUUCUUAAAGAUCUUAUAAUCGUUACCCAUAUUCGAUUCACUUCCAUCAGUACGAUCCACCACAUUCUUGUCUUUACUCAUCCUACCUUAAAUCAAUAAAUAACAAAAAGAACUAGCAAAUAUUGUGUUAAAAAAAAGAAAGUACUCAAGUGUUUGCACUCUUACCAUUCUUUUGCUGAUUCUUCAAUUGCACUUCAGAAACUAAGGUCAACCAACUAACCACAAGGUGCGUUUAAUGAAACAAAAAAGAAAACCUAAAGAAAGAAGGAAGCGCGCAAAAACUAGAAAGAAGACACUGACAAUUUGGAAAGUAACACAUGAACUUGGUUUUGUGCUACUUGAAAAAUAUCACCUAGAGUAUAGAUACAAGCAAACAAUACUCCAGCAAUGUAAAGCAAGCAAAAGCAAGCUUAAACCAAAAAAGAAACUUAGAAAUCAAAUAAAAACGAACCUGGACAAAAAAUAUUGCAUUUAAUUCACUUCAACGCAAAUUAAAUAUGGAUCUACUUAAAUCUACCCAAAAAGGAAAGUAUCAAAACCCCACAAAUAGAAUCAGAAAAGAAAAAUGUAAAUUUCUCUCAGAUCAGAAACAUGGACGAAAAUUCUGGUGUUAAAAGAAGGAUUUGACAUCAAAUCAAUUUAGAUGCAAUUGCCCUAAAUGUGCACUUUAGGAAAUAGGAAGAAUUUCUUUUAUCUCCUAAUCUGGAUUCGACCAAAUUCAAAAUUCAAAAUUCAAAAUUCAAAGUAAUUCCCAUAAAUUACUGCAAUUAAUUGAGAUAGGUAAGGCAAUAUAGAUGAAAAAGGAAGCAUAUCACAAUUUCGGCCAGAUCAAGUUAAAUAAGGAAAAGGCGAUUUUUUUUUUUUGGAUUUCGAAUUUUUUUUUUAUGAUUAAUAAUCAAGAAGGUGCAGCCAUGGACACUAAAGCUUUCACAGAAAUCAAUAACGAAGAGAAGGAAAACUCAGAAAAAAAAACUCUAGAUCCUGAGAUAAAUAAGAAUUUACCUCACUUUGGCUUUGAUACCAACUGACGCGGAACCCUAUGGCACAAGCCUCAAACCCACACGCACAAGUAGAUAUGGAAUCCAAAGAUUUGAUAAACUCACCUCCUAUGGCACCCCAAACUUAGAGAAGCUGAAACACCAAUGAUCGAAGGAUUUAGAUGAGAAUCUGACAAAUGCCACAACGAAUAGUUGAUAAGUUAGCCAAGAUUCCUGGUGCAAUUGAUGAAAGCAAAUCCUCACUCUCACUCAAAGCAAUACACGCCAAAUGCAUGAAAAGAAUUCUGAAAUAUUUGAUUAAAAGCUGCCUCUUACAAUUGUUUCUUAUCCUUAUAUAGUAAGGAGAAAAACAAAUAAAACCCCAAGACACUCUUCUUGGGCCUGACUUAAACACAUAAGGCCCAAGCCCAAUCACA